GGAUGGACCUUGUUCAUCCACCGCCCAAGAGUCAAGACACCCAAAGAAUAAAGGUCUUUUCCCACCGACAUCACAUUGAAAUAGUGCACUCUCAUUUAUGCCAAAUAUUUGGACGAUUCUGUAAGUUCCAUCCGUGAAGAUAGAAAGUGACAAAAAAGGUGGUCACAACACAAACCGACAUGAAAAAUACUCCUUUACCAUCUACUUUGUUUGUACACGAUCAUCACCUAACUUCGCGUUUUCAUUGGUAGUAAAUCCAAAAUUAGAAAGAUAAACAAUAACACUUUGUAUCAAACACUUCCACCCCCGAUUCAAAUUGAUGCUAUGGGGGCGAUUGAUCUGCAGCCUCAUGAGCACCUAGUACAAGCUGUUUGUGCUGUUUAAACUUGCUCGUCCAGUGACCCAUUUGCCACCAUUUGUUUCUCUUGCUGGGGCUUUCCAGAACCCAUCUCCACAGAUUGAGAUGUGGGUUUCUUGGCAGGUUCUGCACCUUUGUUGUUGCGAUAGAUGAAGUAUAGGAUCAGUUGUAUUGCCCCUAGACCACACCCAAAUCCAUUGGGGACAGCUAUAAAAGGAUCAUGGCCAAGUAGGCCAUAGAUGAACCAGGAAGUGCCACACAGGAACACAAAAAGUGACAAGAAAAAUGGCAUGAACUCUACACUCUUAGUUUUAAUCACCAACCUAAUGAUAGACAGAGGUGAGGCGUACAUAAUGAUGGAGAAAAUGGUGGCAGCUAAGCCACAGAAGAGCUUCCUGGCCUUGUCAUGCAGGGCAAACAGGGACACAAAGGCCACAAUAGCAAAAAUAGUGAGCACCAGCGUAAAGAGGCCUAGGAUUUUGCUCUUCUCCUUCCUUGGUGCAUAGAUAAUGAAGAUCAAAACAUAUAUGGUUUCAAUUGCUGCUCCUGUACCAUUAAUUGUUGACACCAGAAGAUUGUUCUUGGACACAAAUGGCAGACCAUACCAGGCGGAAAGGAGACAGUUUAGCAGGGUCAUCACGUACGGGAUGCCUGAGAACUGCUCUGUGGACUUGCUCCUUAUGAUUCUCUUGAAUGUAAUCCUGUCAAGAAAUUGUAAUCCUUAGCUUUAGCUUGGUUGCAGUUCCAGCGCUGGAUUAUUUGAUACAAUACCAUUUUGAAGGGAAAAAAAAUCAAGAAAAUCUGUAUAAACUCUUUACAGUGUUAGAAAUUGUAAAGAAAGCCAAGAAACACAAGAAAACAGAGAAAUAGAGAGAAGACUUUCGUUUUCUAAGGGGGAGAGAGAGAGAGAGAGCUCUUUACGUUGGAGCCAAGAAGAGGAACAAAGCAGUGGCAUUUCCAAAAAUACCGAUCACGAAGUGUAGAACAUCCAUCGACAGCAACUUCAAGAAAAAUAUUCUCCAGAAGGAAAGAGAAGGCCAAGACAAGAACAAAAAAACAAGUUUCUUGAGAAUAAGCAACAGUGAGUGUAGAGGUUGGUAAGCAAAUGGCAACGUGAUGAGCGGAGGAAGGAAAAGGCAAGUGGGUUAUAUAGCAGGAAAAUGGAAAAUAACCGCUGGGUUUAAUUCGUUCUUAUCCAGAUGCCUUGGUAAUUCGGUUGCUGUCUGUGAACUGUGGGCUACCUGACAUGAAUGGCACUGCAUAUUGAAGGUGAAAACG
rnacentral:misc_RNA from 1 species